rnacentral:rRNA from 1 species
CGGAGGGUGCGAGCGUUGUCCGGAAUCACUGGGCGUAAAGGGCGCGUAGGCGGCCUGAUAAGUAGGGGGUGAAAUCCUGCGGCUUAACCGCAGGGCUGCCUUCUAAACUGUCAGGCUUGAGCAUAGUAGAGGCAGGUGGAAUUCCCGGUGUAGCGGUGGAAUGCGUAGAGAUCGGGAAGAACAUCAGUGGCGAAGGCGGCCUGCUGGGCUGUUGCUGACGCUGAGGCGCGACAGCGUGGGGAGCAAACAGGAUUAGAUACCCUGGUAGUCCACGCCGUAAACGAUGGGCACUAGGCGUCGGGGGGAGCGACCCUCCCGGUGCCGUCGCUAACGCAGUAAGUGCCCCGCCUGGGGAGUACGGCCGCAAGGCUG